rnacentral:rRNA from 1 species
AAUCCAUAGGUUAAUGAGGCGAACCGGGGGAACUGAAACAUCUAAGUACCCCGAGGAAAAGAAAUCAACCGAGAUUCCCCCAGUAGCGGCGAGCGAACGGGGAGGAGCCCAGAGCCUGAAUCAGCAUGUGUGUUAGUGGAAGCGUCUGGAAAGGCGCGCGAUACAGGGUGACAGCCCCGUACACAAAAGCGCAUGUGCUGUGAGCUCGAUGAGUAGGGCGGGACACGUGGUAUCCUGUCUGAAUAUGGGGGGACCAUCCUCCAAGGCUAAAUACUCCUGACUGACCGAUAGUGAACCAGUACCGUGAGGGAAAGGCGAAAAGAACCCCGGCGAGGGGAGUGAAAAAGAACCUGAAACCGUGUACGUACAAGCAGUGGGAGCACAGGUUUACCUGUGUGACUGCGUACCUUUUGUAUAAUGGGUCAGCGACUUAUAUUCUGUAGCAAGGUUAACCGUAUAGGGGAGCCGUAGGGAAACCGAGUCUUAACCGGGCGUUAAGUUGCAGGGUAUAGACCCGAAACCCGGUGAUCUAGCCAUGGGCAGGUUGAAGGUUGGGUAACACUAACUGGAGGACCGAACCGACUAAUGUUGAAAAAUUAGCGGAUGACCUGUGGCUGGGGGUGAAAGGCCAAUCAAACCGGGAGAUAGCUGGUUCUCCCCGAAAGCUAUUUAGGUAGCGCCUCGUGAAUUCAUCUCCGGGGGUAGAGCACUGUUUCGGCUAGGGGGCCAUCCCGGCUUACCAACCCGAUGCAAACUGCGAAUACCGGAGAAUGUUAUCACGGGAGACACACGGCGGGUGCUAACGUCCGUCGUGAAGAGGGAAACAACCCAGACCGCCAGCUAAGGUCCCAAAGUCAUGGUUAAGUGGGAAACGAUGUGGGAAGGCCCAGACAGCCAGGAUGUUGGCUUAGAAGCAGCCAUCAUUUAAAGAAAGCGUAAUAGCUCACUGGUCGAGUCGGCCUGCGCGGAAGAUGUAACGGGGCUAAACCAUGCACCGAAGCUGCGGCAGCGAACGUAUCACCCAAGACAACUUUACGGAGUUGACGAUUGACGGAGCGAAGCGACGUCAAAGCGUUCAUUAAAGUCGAGUUGGCUUAGGGAUACGUUCGUUGGGUAGGGGAGCGUUCUGUAAGCCUGUGAAGGUGUGUCGUGAGGCAUGCUGGAGGUAUCAGAAGUGCGAAUGCUGACAUAAGUAACGAUAAAGCGGGUGAAAAGCCCGCUCGCCGGAAGACCAAGGGUUCCUGUCCAACGUUAAUCGGGGCAGGGUGAGUCGACCCCUAAGGCGAGGCCGAAAGGCGUAGUCGAUGGGAAACGGGUUAAUAUUCCCGUACUUGGUGUUACUGCGAAGGGGGGACGGAGAAGGCUAUGUUGGCCGGGCGACGGUUGUCCCGGUUUAAGCGUGUAGGUGUGUGUUCCAGGUAAAUCCGGUUCACUUUAACACUGAGGCGUGACGACGAGGCACUACGGUGCUGAAGCAACAAAUGCCCUGCUUCCAGGAAAAGCCUCUAAGCAUCAGGUAACAC